CAGUAGCCACGGUAAUACAGAGGGUGCGAGCGUUAAUCGGAUUUACUGGGCGUAAAGCGUGCGUAGGCGGCUUCUUAAGUCGGAUGUGAAAUCCCUGAGCUUAACUUAGGAAUUGCAUUCGAUACUGGGAAGCUAGAGUAUGGGAGAGGAUGGUAGAAUUCCAGGUGUAGCGGUGAAAUGCGUAGAGAUCUGGAGGAAUACCGAUGGCGAAGGCAGCCAUCUGGCCUAAUACUGACGCUGAGGUACGAAAGCAUGGGGAGCAAACAGGAUUAGAUACCCGCGUAGUCCCUGUCUCUUAUAC
rnacentral:rRNA from 1 species